AGAAUCAACGCUGGCGGCAGGCCUAACACAUGCAAGUCGAGCGCCCCGCAAGGGGAGCGGCAGACGGGAGAGUAACACGUGGGAACGUACCCUUUGGUUCGGAACAACACAGGGAAACUUGUGCUAAUACCGGAUAAGCCCUUACGGGGAAAGAUUUAUCGCCAAAGGAUCGGCCCGCGUCUGAUUAGCUUGUUGGUGAGGUAACGGCUCACCAAGGCUACGAUCAGUAGCUGGUCUGAGAGGAUGAUCAGCCUCACUGGGACUGAGACACGGCCCAGACUCCUACGGGAGGCAGCAGUGGGGAAUAUUGGACAAUGGGCGCAAGCCUGAUCCAGCCAUGCCGCGUGGAUGAUGAAGGCCCUAGGGUUGUAAAGUCCUUUCGACGGGGAAGAUAAUGACGGUACCCGUAGAAGAAGCCCGGCUAACUUCGUGCCAGCAGCCGC
rnacentral:rRNA from 1 species